rnacentral:rRNA from 1 species
GAUGAACGCUGGCGGCGUGCCUAAUACAUGCAAGUCGAGCGAACGGACGAGGAGCUUGCUCCUCUGACGUUAGCGGCGGACGGGUGAGUAACACGUGGAUAACCUACCUAUAAGACUGGGAUAACUUCGGGAAACCGGAGCUAAUACCGGAUAAUAUAUUGAACCGCAUGGUUCAAUAGUGAAAGACGGUCUUGCUGUCACUUAUAGAUGGAUCCGCGCCGCAUUAGCUAGUUGGUAAGGUAACGGCUUACCAAGGCAACGAUGCGUAGCCGACCUGAGAGGGUGAUCGGCCACACUGGAACUGAGACCCGGUCCAGACUCCUACGGGAGGCAGCCGUAGGGAAUCUUCCGCACUGGGCGCAAGCCUGACGGAGCAACGCCGCGUGAGUGAUGAAGGUCUUCGGAUCGUAAAACUCUGUUAUUAGGGAAGAACAAAUGUGUAAGUAACUAUGCACGUCUUGACGGUACCUAAUCAGAAAGCCACGGCUAACUACGUG